AGAAUUUUGAGUUCGGAAGCGUACGCUCAAAAUUGGAAUGAUCUUUCUUUAAUUUUCUUAAUGAGCCGUACUGGGCCUUCAAUUGCAGCUACCCCACGGAAGCCGAAGCCCAGAACCAAUUUCCAAUUUUCUUCACUUGUCGUGACUCAUUUUAUCUGCUAACUGCUACAUUAGAACCCUAAAAUUUUGAUCUCACCUACUCUCUUUCUUUUCUUUCUUCCUCUCCAGUCUUUACCGUGGUCUUUAUUUGGGUUCAUUUUAAAUUAUUUUAUUCUAUAAAAAAAAGUGCUUUGUUUUAUUUAUUUAUUUUUUUAAAUUAGAAAUUUACCCGAUGAUGGAAAAACUGUGCAAUGUAUUGAGCGGUUGCCGUGGUUUUUUGUUCAAUCGCUAGCCUUUACUCACCGCCGCCGUCUCCACCACCACCACUACAUUUACCUCUUUAUACAUGCACGCAUACACACACAUAUAUAUAUGCACGUGCGGCGGUGUGUAAAGGCUUCUGAUGAACGCCAUUGGCAGUAAGCCGUGAAUGAUCGGUUCAAAGCUAUGAGAUCUGAGGGCUACCACUCACAUUUCAAAUUUUUCUUUUUCAAGAAUAAUUUUCUUUAUUUUGUGCUUUAUUUUUUCGGUAAUGUUGUGAAUUUAGUAAUUUGUCGGUUUUUUCGGUUCCACGGUUUUUUCUGCCACCCCUCACAUUAAACCGAUGCUUUUAUUUGGUUUUAAAAUUGUAUUCGAGUGAAUGAUGAUACGUGCACUGGGCUCUGAGCGGAUUUUUCACCGCGUUUAUUGAUGGAAAUGCAGGCUAGAAAGCUUUAUCUGAUCUUACAUUUGCUUACUUUGCGUUGCAACCUUGAUUAUUGGAUUAUAAUUUAUGCAUUAGCUUUUCUUUUUUAUUAUAUUUCGUCAUUCAUGGCUGCGUAUUGACUUGCAAUCUUAUCACUGUUUGUAAUUGGUGGGCUUGAACAAUAUAGUUUUUAUUUUUGGUUUGCUAAAAACCUUUUCUGUUAUGAUGAUGGAUUUUGGUUGAUGAAUUGUUAAAGUAAUUACUUGCUCGGAUAACUGUUCUCAAAAUGUAUAACCUUUGCUGUUAUGAUGAUGGAUUUUGGUUGAUGAAUUGUUAAAGUAAUUACUUGCUCGGAUAACUGUUCUCAAAAUGUAUAACCUUUGCUGUUAUGAUGAUGGAUUUUGGUUGAUGAAUUGUUAAAGUAAUUACUUGCUCGGAUAACUGUUCUCAAAAUGUAUUUGUAUAGUACAAAAAAUGUUUUUAUUUACUUAAUCUUGUAUUAUAAACUUUUCAUAGGUUUGAGGUUCUGUAGUUCAGUCAGUUAAUAGUAGCUUUGCCUUCUUCUUUUUUGUUAAUAUGUUUUUGGUAUAGGCUUUUGCCCAAUGAUGGAAAACUCAUUAUGUGGAGUGGUAGCAUGGAUAUUCGUUUUGAGUCUCUACAUUUAUCAUUACUGUUGUAAUCAUCAUCAUCAUCAUCAUCAUCAUCAUCUCUCUCUCUCUCUCUCUCUCUCUCUCUCUCUCUUUCCCUCCCCCCUUUUAGGUCAACUGCUAAGCUACAUAUAAUGUAACUUAGCAGCUGCUUUCUUUCUUUCUUUCUUUCUUUCUGAUAUCUUCUUGUUACAAUGGAUAAUGAUGGGUAAAGGCUCUUAACGAACCCAUUUCGCUAAACCAUCAAUGACCAGUAUAGCUAUGAGAUCUGAGGGCUAUUUAAUUUUUUAUUUAUUUCAUCUGCUUUGGAUGUCAUUUCAUUGCCUUCUGACUCUUUCCCUACUGUCAUCCUUUUCAGUAUAUGUUCUAUAUCUCAAGUUUGAAAUCUACAGCUUCAACAAUGAUGGAAACUCGUUAAGUCUAGUGAGUGCAUUGGUUUUUGUUAUUAGCCUCCAUUAUCACUUUUCUACCUCCUCUGGAUCGUUGUUGUAAAUGUUGUUGUUGUUGUUGUUGUUUAUUGUUGACUAUAUCUUUGGAGGUAUGGAUUGGCUUUUAAUGAGAAUCAUGAACUUCACUGUCUAUAAAUUGACUUAUGAGAUCUGAGGCUUCAAUGAAUCCUUUUGUUACUUCUUUCUUCUUUCACUAACUCUUUCUUUAUGUUUAUUUUGCGUCGAUUUUUUUUCUCAUAUUGUUUAUUUAAGUUAUGAGCAUUUAAUUUGAAUAAACACUUUCUCAUAUUGUUUAUUUAAGUUAUGGGCAUUUAAUUUGAAUAAACACUUUGUGCAGUGCCAUCUAGUUGAGAUGGCAAAAUCUCUUAUGUGAAAACAAGAGAUCUGUGAAUUGGACCGCUUCACAUGGGUGGAGAGGGGGUUGAAUCACCAUUAGGCUGAAUAAUAAAAUAAAAAGCGAUGAGCAUUUAAUAGUCAGUUUUUGGAAUUUUGUGAAGACUUGUGAGUUUUUUAUUUAUGCUGUUCCAUUCUUAACUCAUAUUUUAUCAUUCAUGUAAUGUUUAUAAUCAAUCUUCUCAAGCGUAACAUGUAAUGAUUUUAAUCAAUCUUCCCAACCAUUAAGUGUGACUUAGGUGAUUUUAGUUAAAAAUAUUUUCUGAUUCCAAUUCUUUCUGAUUGCAAUCUAUUCAUAAUCAUGGAACUUCCAUUUUUUCUUCCUCUUUUGCUCUACCUGCAGCUAUCUUUUUUUGCAUAAUGUGCUUUUAGUUUGAGAUUCAGUCUGCUAUGGCACUCAAUCAUCUACCAUUCCGGUUCCAGUUUCUGAUAUCAAUGUGAAUCAAUCUAGUGCAAUAAAGUAUUUUUAUUGUCAAAGUUGACCUUUGUACUCCUGAUACAUGCCUGCCUUGUGCUUGAAAUUUUAUCAAUUAAAUUCCUGUGCGUUAUCGGUUUAAGUUCAUGAGCACUUUGAUAGUUGAGAUAAGCGACUCAUUUGACAAGGUUAGUAAUGACCCUCUGUUUAGUCCAUGUUAUAUCUCAGUAACAUUCUGUCAAAAUUGGAAAUUUUCAAACUGACUAUUCCUUCUGAAACUGUCUUGUUUGGCUGCUCCAGUUUGAUUAGUUGGUUUUGGUUAAGUUUUUGUUUGUCAGGCAUUCAUGCUUCUAUACCUUAGAUGAUUGUCAACUCUGGUGUUUUGUUUAUGAUUUGCUAAUCGUCGAAAGAUGGGUUAGAUUGUUUACUAAUAUACCCUUAAAAAGGGUUUUACCAUUGUAAUAUUUUGCAUCUGCCCAAUGAUGGAAACUCGUUGUGUUGUUUGGUGGCUUUAAUUUUCAUUGUGAACCCCAUCUUUGCUGCCACUCUAUGCUAUCAUUCAUUGGUGCAAACUUUUGCUGCUGGUGCUUUUGGUUCUUCUUAUUCUAAUUCGUAAUCAUCUUUUUCUUCUUCUUCUUCUUCUUCUCAAUUAUUGUUGUUAUUAUUAUUAUUAUUAUUAUUGUGGUUAUUGUUAUCACAAUUGAUGGUGGUGGUGGGUGGUAGCUAUGGUGCUCAUCUGAUCACCAUUUAAGAUGUGGAAUGGCUUGCAGUGAAAAUCAUAACCUUCUGCAUGAACUGACUUGCAAUGAGAUCUGAGGGCCAUGCUACUUCCUUUUGAGUUUGUAAAAGAUUGCGUAGUAAUUCUUUUGAGCAUGGGAGUCUUUUUUAUUUUCAUUUACUUCAUCAAUUUAAUCUGUUUUUAGUUAGUUUUCGACCUUGCAGGGUAUUGGACUCUUGGCCCUUCCAGUUGGUACCACAAUGAGUUAUUUGCGGAGGUUUCCUUUGUGGCAAUGUGAUUACAGAUCAUUGUAAAUCUUUAGCAAAAUAAUAGCAAGAGUUCAAUAAAGAACUGACAAAUUUUUAACGGUUAUUUUCAUUUUUCCAAUGCUCCUCAUUAUUUGCACUAAGUGUUAUAUUAUUCAUUAUUUUUGGUGCCUCAUUUGAAUAAAAUUCUAUUCCAAGUUUACCUAAUCUUUAAAUAAGUACCGAGAUUGACAAAUGAUAUUGCUUAUGAACUAAAAUAAUUGAAAAUUCAUUCUGAAUGUUAUUAAUAUGUAGCUUCAGGACAUUGGUACAAGCUUCGAUAGCGGCAACUGAAUAUUAGCAUACCCAUAAUUGUAAAUUUCCUAAUGAUAUC
rnacentral:lncRNA from 1 species